GAUGAACGCUAGCGACAGGCCUAACACAUGCAAGUCGAGGGGCAGCAUGAUUGAAGCUUGCUUCAAUUGAUGGCGACCGGCGCACGGGUGAGUCACACGUGUGCAACCUACCCAUCACCCGGGGAUAACUCCUGGAAACGGGAACUAACACCCGAUAGUAUUGAUGGAUCGCAUGAUCCAUUAAUUAAAACUCCGGUGGUGAUGGAUGGGCACGCGGGACAUUAGGUAGUUGGCGGGGUAACGGCCCACCAAGCCGACGAUGUCCAGGGGUCCCGGGAGGGAGGUCCCCCACACUGGAACUGAGACACGGUCCAGACUCCUACGGGAGGCAGCAGUGAGGAAUAUUGGUCAAUGGUCGAGAGACUGAACCAGCCAAGUCGCGUGAGGGAAGAAUGGUCCAUGGCCUGUAAACCUCUUUUGACGGGGACGAAUAAAGGGAACGUGUUCCCUCUUGCCGGUACCCGUCGAAUAAGCAUCGGCUAACUCCGUGCCAGCAGCCGCGGUAACACGGGGGAUGCGAGCGUUAUCCGGAUUUAUUGGGUUUAAAGGGCGCGUAGGCGGGGGAUCAAGUCAGCGGUAAAAGCCUGCAGCUUAACUGUAGCACGCCGUUGAAACUGGUUCUCUAGAGUUCGGUCAAGGGAGGCGGAACAGGUGAAGUAGCGGUGAAAUGCAUAGAUAUCACCUGGAACCCCGAUAGCGAAGGCAGCUUCCCGGCCCGAUACUGACGCUGAAGCGCGAAAGCGUGGGUAGCGAACAGGAUUAGAUACCCUGGUAGUCCACGCCGUAAACGAUGCUCACUGGUUCUCCGUGAUAGACAAUGGGGGAUCAAGCGAAAGUAUUAAGUGAGCCACCUGGGGAGUACGUCGGCAACGAUGAAACUCAAAGGAAUUGACGGGGGCCCGCACAAGCGGAGGAACAUGUGGUUUAAUUCGAUGAUACGCGAGGAACCUUACCCGGGUUUAAAUGGGAGCGGACGUGCCAGGAAACGGGCAUUUCCCUCGGGACCGCUCUCAAGGUGCUGCAUGGUUGUCGUCAGCUCGUGCCGUGAGGUGUCGGGUUAAGUCCCAUAACGAGCGCAACCCCUGCUGGUAGUUGCCACCGGUUCGGCCGGGCACUCUACCGGGACUGCCGCCGUAAGGCGCGAGGAAGGCGGGGAUGACGUCAAAUCAGCACGGCCCUUACACCCGGGGCGACACACGUGUUACAAUGGCCGGUACAGGGGGCAGCCACCUGGUGACAGGGCGCUAAUCUCCAAAGCCGGUCGUAGUUCGGACUGGAGUCUGCAACCCGACUCCACGAAGCUGGAUUCGCUAGUAAUCGCGCAUCAGCCAUGGCGCGGUGAAUACGUUCCCGGGCCUUGUACACACCGCCCGUCAAGCCAUGGAAGCCGGGAGUACCUGAAGAUCGUGACCGCGAGGAGCGAGCUAGGGUAAUACCGGUAACUGGGGCUA
rnacentral:rRNA from 1 species